AUUGUUGUUCAACAUGAUGGUGGAAAGAGGAGUGAUUGCUAUACACUGUACUGUAUUUCAAUUUACAAUGUUUCGUUUACAUGAUUUAAUAAAAUGGCGCCUAAAAUUAAAAAACAAAACAAAAAAGCAUACAAUGUGGCUUUCAUUAGCCAUUCAAAUAAGAUGAUUUUAUUGGGCCAAACUAAACACAUUCAUCCACUGAACUGCCUGACUUUAUUUUCUUAUUACAAAGUGUAAACAAGUCCUUCCUGAAUGGAGACAAUUACACCUUUAAAGAACGUUAUAAAAGAGUUUACCAAUAACUUCUGUAAAUUCAGGACUGGGGCUAGUUUAAAUAAUUGUUUUGUAUGACAAGAAUAAAAAUAAAUUUACUCCCAAUAUUCUUAUUACAUCUUAUCUGGUUAAUCAACUGUCACACCACACUGUUUAUAAGACUCAUCUCCUUAUUUACUUACAUAUUAUUUUUUACAUUGUAUAUUUCACAUUUAUACGGAGGCGACCAAGCACAAACCCUUUAAACGACCAAGGCGACGCCAUACAAAGCUAAAACAAACAUCACUAGUCAACCUGAAGAAUUGAAGGGUGCAUUCAUGAAAUGUAUAAAACUCCUCUUGUCCAAAACUAUCAUGAAGGGAUUGCCCGGAUGUUGGUUUCAAGGGGAGCAGACCUCACAUGCUCUCUCACUAACUCCUAUUGAUAUUCAUCUGGGCCAUUGUAAAGAAAUGGCAAAAACGCUUUGUACAGUAGCAUGCUGGGUGUCAACAAAGCCAUCUGCAGCUGCUUUCAAUUAACUGUAAGUCUGGAUUUGUAUUGUCUCAAAAGCAGUAAAUUCAAACUUUCAAAUAUAUACAGUACAUUUUUUACACAGCAGGCUCACACAUUGAACAAAACACAGUCUUUAAGCUAUCAUUAGCCAAAUGCAACAUAAAAGCUGAAUUUGACUAAAUAUGUUUUUUUCAAAAUUAGCUAUUUAUUUUCAUACUGAAUUAGCCCUAAUUGCUAAAUUGUGUUUUUGGCUAGCUUAAACUCUGAAUACACUUUAAUUGAAAUACUUUACUUCAAUGAUUAAGCCAGUGAA